rnacentral:pre_miRNA from 1 species
CUGACUUCCGAGCUUCUGAGAGAUUCAAAGACUCUCAGAAGUUCGGAAUUCAGCG